rnacentral:rRNA from 1 species
AGUGAACGCUGGCGGUAGGCCUAACACAUGCAAGUCGAACGGCAGCACAGUAAGAGCUUGCUCUUACGGGUGGCGAGUGGCGGACGGGUGAGGGAUACAUCGGAAUCUACUUUUUCGUGGGGGAUAACGUAGGGAAACUUACGCUAAUACCGCAUACGACCUACGGGUGAAAGCAGGGGAUCUUCGGACCUUGCGCGAUUGAAUGAGCCGAUGUCGGAUUAGCUGGUUGGCGGGGUAAAGGCCCACCAAGGCGACGAUCCGUAGCUGGUCUGAGAGGAUGAUCAGCCACACUGGAACUGAGACACGGUCCAGACUCCUACGGGAGGCAGCAGUGGGGAAUAUUGGACAAUGGGCGCAAGCCUGAUCCAGCCAUACCGCGUGGGUGAAGAAGGCCUUCGGGUUGUAAAGCCCUUUUGUUGGGAAAGAAAAGCAGCAGGUUAAUACCCCGCUGUUCUGACGGUACCCAAAGAAUAAGCACCGGCUAACUUCGUG